rnacentral:rRNA from 1 species
UACGAAGGGUGCAAGCGUUAAUCGGAAUUACUGGGCGUAAAGGGUGCGUAGGCGGUUGUUUAAGUCUGUCGUGAAAUCCCCGGGCUCAACCUGGGAAUGGCGAUGGAAACUGGGCAGCUAGAGUGUGUCAGAGGAUGGUGGAAUUCCCGGUGUAGCAGUGAAAUGCGUAGAGAUCGGGAGGAACACCAGUGGCGAAGGCGGCCUUCUGGACCAAUACUGACGCUCAUGCACGAAAGCGUGGGGAGCAAACAGG